rnacentral:snoRNA from 1 species
CUGCAGUGAUGAGUGUGACGUGACUGAUCUGGUAUUGCUCUCUUCCAGGGAGAGCUCUGACCAGCAAAUGAUCUCAGUUUAAUCUUCUCUCUGAGCAG